rnacentral:rRNA from 1 species
AUUGAACGCUGGCGGCAGGCCUAACACAUGCAAGUCGAACGACUGGCGGACGGGUGAGUAAUGUCUGGGAAACUGCCUGAUGGAGGGGGAUAACUACUGGAAACGGUAGCUAAUACCGCAUACCAUCGGAUGUGCCCAGAUGGGAUGAGCUAGUAGGUGGGGGAACGGCUCACCUAGGCGACGAGCCAUAGCUGGUCUGAGAGGAGGACCAGCUACACUGGAACUUAGAAACGGUCCAGCUUCCUACGGGAGGCAGCAGGGGGGAAUAUUGCACAAGUGGCGCAAGCCUGAUGCAGCCAUGCCGCGUGUAUGAAGAAGGCCUUCGGGUUGUAAAGUACUUUACGCGGGGAGGCGUUACCCGCAGAAGAAGCACCGGCUAACUCCGUGCCAGCAGCCGCGGUAAUAC